rnacentral:lncRNA from 1 species
UGAGUCUCCUUUGCAUUUCACGGGUCGGUUUUGCAUCUUCUUCUAAGUGAAUGCGAUGCAUGCAAAUAGAUGGGUCAAUCCCCUUUAGAUCAGUUACGGACCAUCCAAUUGCAUGUUUGUGUUCUCCGAGUACACUCAAAAGUUGACUCUCCUGUUUGUCAGACAGGUCAACCGCGAUGAUUACAGGUAGGGUAUCUUCGGAGCCUAGAAAAGCAUACUUAAGGGUUACCGGAAGUGGCUUUAACUCAAGUUUGGGAGGGAACUCGAUGGAGGGGCACUGUGGCGUACUAGAAAGGGUAGGAAGAGGUUCAUAUCGGAUACCCCAAGGAUGAGAAUUUGUGAGAGACGGAUUGUCAAGUAGGACAUUGACUUCUUCUAUGGCCUUGUUUAAAUCAAAAUUAUCAAUGUCAAAAUGGACUAAACAUGCUUCCAAAAGGUCCUCUGCCAGAAUAUAGGGAAGGGCUUCUUCUACAAGAUUG